UACGGAGGGUGCGAGCGUUGUUCGGAAUUACUGGGCGUAAAGCGCGUGUAGGCGGUUUUCUAAGUCUGAUGUGAAAGCCCGGGGCUCAACCCCGGAGUGCAUUGGAAACUGGGAGACUAGAGUACCGGAGAGGAGGGUGGAAUUCCUGGUGUAGCGGUGAAAUGCGUAGAUAUCAGGAGGAACACCGGUGGCGAAGGCGGCCCUCUGGACGGAUACUGACGCUGAGACGCGAAAGCGUGGGGAGCAAACAGGAUUAGAUACCCCGGUAGU
rnacentral:rRNA from 1 species